rnacentral:rRNA from 1 species
AGCAGCCGCGGUAAUUCCAGCUCCAAUAGCGUAUAUUAAAGUUGUUGCAGUUAAAAAGCUCGUAGUUGAAUUUUAGGCCUGGCCGGGCGGUCCGUCUUUGGCGAGUACUGUCCUGUGUCGGGUCUUCCUUCUGGUGAACCAGUAUGUCCUUUAUUGGGUGUGCCGGGGAGCCAGGACCAUUACCUUGAAAAAUUAGAGUGUUUAAAGCGGGCUUUUGCUUGAAUAGAUUAGCAUGGAAUAAUAGAAUAGGACGUUGUGGUUCUAUUUUGUUGGUUUCUAGGACCACCGUAAUGAUUAAUAGGGACAGUUGGGGGCAUUAGUAUUCAAUUGUCAGAGGUGAAAUUCUUGGAUUUAUUGAAGACUAACUAUUGCGAAAGCAUUUGCCAAGGAUGUUUUCAUUAAUCAAGAACGAAAGUUAGGGGAUCGAAGACGAUCAGAUACCGUCGUAGUCUUAACCAUAAACUAUGCCGACUAGGAAUCGGGCGACGGUUUAUUUUCAUGACUCGCUCGGCGCCUUAUG